CCUUUGACGUUAGCGGCGGACGGGUGAGUAACACGUGGGUAACCUACCUAUAAGACUGGGAUAACUUCGGGAAACCGGAGCUAAUACCGGAUAAUAUUUCAACCGCAUGGUUCGAUAGUGAAAGAUGGUUUUGCUAUCACUUAUAGAUGGACCCGCGCCGUAUUAGCUAGUUGGUAAGGUAACGGCUUACCAAGGCGACGAUACGUAGCCGACCUGAGAGGGUGAUCGGCCACACUGGAACUGAGACACGGUCCAGACUCCUACGGGAGGCAGCAGUG
rnacentral:rRNA from 1 species